AAACCUCUCAGCGGUCGCGAGAUCCUGCUGCGGCCCGGGCGUCAUUUCGCCAGCGGCUGUGACAGCGUGGACAGAGCGGGCUUAGGAAUGCCUGUGAGUAAGUAAUGUACAAAGAAGAGAAAGUUAUGUUUUACAGUUCUGGAGUCUGGGAAAUCUAACAUGCUGGGUCCAUAUUUGUGGAACCUUCUGAACCUCACCUGACCCUAAUUGCCUCCGAAAGACCCCACCUUCAGAUACCAUUGGCAUAUGAACUUGAGAAUGAAGUUUCCAACACGUAAACUUUUGUGGGACGCCUUCCAACUAUAUCAGGGCUGACCUCAAACUUGUGAUUCUCUUGCCUUGGUCUG